rnacentral:rRNA from 1 species
CUACGGGCGGCUGCAGUGAGGAAUAUUGCACAAUGGGCGAAAGCCUGAUGCAGCAACGCCGCGUGGGUGAUGAAGGCCUUCGGGUUGUAAAACCCUUUUCUGGGGGACGAGGAGGGACGGUACCUCAGGAAUAAGCCUCGGCUAACUACGUGCCAGCAGCCGCGGUAAAACGUAGGAGGCGAGCGUUAUUCGGAUUUACUGGGCGUAAAGCGCGUGCAGGCGGUUCUGUAAGUUGGAGGUUAAAUCUCUCGGCUCAACUGAGAGGCGUCCUUCAAAACUGCAGGGCUUGAGGAUGGGAGAGGGAAGUGGAAUUCCCGGUGUAGUGGUGGAAUGCGUAGAUAUCGGGAGGAACACCAGUGGCGAAGGCGGCUUCCUGGCCCAUACCUGACGCUAAGACGCGAAAGCGUGGGGAGCGAACGGGAUUAGAUACCCCCGUAGUC